rnacentral:rRNA from 1 species
UGCGUAGGUGGUUGGUUAAGUUUGAGGCGAAAGCUCCGAGCUCAACUCGGAAAAUGCCUUGAAGACUAUCUGACUAGAGGAUUGGAGGGGAGAUUGGAAUUCUCGGUGUAGCAGUGAAAUGCGUAGAUAUCGAGAGGAACACCAGUGGCGAAGGCGAAUCUCUGGACAAUUCCUGACACUGAGGCACGAAAGCCAAGGGAGCAAACG